rnacentral:lncRNA from 1 species
AUGGGAUCUAAAGUGUAUCUAAACUGGUUUGCAGGCAUUUACACCUUUACUGUGCUGGUCACAAAAUCUCAGGUGUCCCUGAGGUCUCACAGAGGGACAGAUGCACAUGUCACAACGAAACAUCCAUCCUGGGGGAGCACUGUGUUCUCUACCUGUAACCCUCUCAACAAUCUUGCAAAGUUCCUGGGUUUGAAAGCGCUAUGCAUUUUGGCUCAAGAAUUCAACAUCUGGGAAACAAGUUAUGCAGUGAGAACUCCCCAGAGGACAGACCAUAUGCAUGAGCUUUUUUUUUUUUUUCACAAUCUGACUGGUCUGCAGUUUCUGCAGGUUAAAUCCAGGCUCAUACGUGUUUCAGCUGUUAGUCUGGGUAAGUCUGAGCUACCUAUAAUGAAGGACUUCAUUUCUCCCUUUGUGAACUUCUAUUGAAGGUCAUUUCAUACUUUACUUCUUUUUUUUUUUUUUUUUGUACCAGGGAUCGAACUCAAGUCCUUGCGCUUGCGAGGCAGGCAACGGAACCACUGAGCUAAAUCCCUGGCCCCAUUUCAUACUUUAAAAUACCAAAAUUUUCUAAAUCAAUUACUAUACUUUGAAAUCCAAUAAGCUGAAAUGAAGUUUUGAUAUUCCCAGAAAUGCUUAGGCUCUCUUUGGAAAAAAUAAACUAAAACCCAUACUUUAAGGACUGGUAUUAUUAUUUGCUAAUGCUGGAUUUCCACUAUUUGGUUAUUGUUAUGCUAAAUUCUCUG